rnacentral:rRNA from 1 species
GCUUAGAGUUUGAUCCUGGCUCAGGACGAACGCUGGCGGCGUGCCUAAUGCAUGCAAGUCGAACGCACUCGCUUCGGCGAGUGAGUGGCGCACGGCUGAGUAACACGUGGGAACCUGCCCCCCGGUGGGGGAUAACGCGACGAAAGUUGCGCUAAUCCCGCAUACGUCCCCAGGGAGAAAGCGCCUCCGCGCGCCGGGGGAGGGGCCUGCGGCCCAUCAGGUCGUUGGUGGGGUAAUGGCCUACCAAGCCUAUGACGGGUAGCUGGUCUGGGAGGAUGACCAGCCAGACUGGGACUGAGACACGGCCCAGACUCCUACGGGAGGCAGCAGCAAGGAAUUUUCGGCAAUGGGCGCAAGCCUGACCGAGCAACGCCGCGUGCGGGAUGACGGCCUUCGGGUUGUAAACCGCUUUUCGGGGGGACGACCCUGACGGUACUCCCGGAACAAGCCCCGGCUAACUCUGUGCCAGCAGCCGCGGUAAGACAGAGGGGGCAAGCGUUGUCCGGAGUCACUGGGCGUAAAGCGCGCGCAGGCGGCUGCCUAAGUGUCGUGUGAAAGCCCCCGGCUCAACCGGGGGAGGCCAUGGCAAACUGGGUGGCUCGAGCGGCGGAGAGGUCCCUCGAAUUGCCGGUGUAGCGGUGAAAUGCGUAUAGAUCGGCAGGAAGACCAAGGGGGAAGCCAGGGGGCUGGCCGCUAGCUGACGCUGAGGCGCGACAGCGUGGGGAGCAAACCGGAUUAGAUACCCGGGUAGUCCACGCCGUAAACGAUGACCACUCGGCGUGUGGCGACUAUUGACGUCGCGGCGCGCCCUAGCUCACGCGAUAAGUGUCCGCUGAG